UACGUAGGUGGCAAGCGUUAUCCGGAAUUAUUGGGCGUAAAGAGCGCGCAGGUGGUUAAUUAAGUCUGAUGUGAAAGCCCACGGCUUAACCGUGGAGGGUCAUUGGAAACUGGUUGACUUGAGUGCAGAAGAGGGAAGUGGAAUUCCAUGUGUAGCGGUGGAAUGCGUAGAGAUAUGGAGGAACACCAGUGGCGAAGGCAGCCUUCCGGCGCCCUACUGACGCUGAGGCACGAAAGUGCGGGGAUCGAACAGG
rnacentral:rRNA from 1 species